rnacentral:rRNA from 1 species
UAAAGGUAUUCCGGUAGACGAUGGGGAUGCGUUCCAUUAGAUAGUAGGCGGGGUAACGGCCCACCUAGUCUUCGAUGGAUAGGGGUUCUGAGAGGAAGGUCCCCCACAUUGGAACUGAGACACGGUCCAAACUCCUACGGGAGGCAGCAGUGAGGAAUAUUGGUCAAUGGGCGAGAGCCUGAACCAGCCAAGUAGCGUGAAGGAUGACUGCCCUAUGGGUUGUAAACUUCUUUUAUAAAGGAAUAAAGUCGGGUAUGGAUACCCGUUUGCAUGUACUUUAUGAAUAAGGAUCGGCUAACUCCGUGCCAGCAGCCGCGGUAAUACGGAGGAUCCGAGCGCUAUCCGGAUUUAUUGGGUUUAAAGGGAGCGUAGAUGGAUAUUUAAGUCAGUUGUGAAAGUUUGCGGCUCAACCGUAAAAUUGCAGUUGAUACUGGAUAUCUUGAGUGCAGUUGAGGCAGGCGGAAUUCGUGGUGUAGCGGUGAAAUGCUUAGAUAUCACGAAGAACUCCGAUUGCGAAGGCAGCCUGCUAAGCUGCAACUGACAUUGAGGCUCGAAAGUGUGGGUAUCAAACAGGAUUAGAUACCCUGGUAGUCCACACGGUAAACGAUGAAUACUCGCUGUUUGCGAUAUACUGCAA